ACUACAGGGGGAAAAAAAAGGAUUUUUACCAGAAAGUUUACACAGCGUCCACAGGCAGUUAUCAAAGACAAGGAGGGCAACAUAAUAAAAAUACUGACAUGCUAAAAAGUAUACGCUUGCUGUAAGUUUCUAAUGACAAAUACUUUGGAGAAGACAACACAAUAUCAACCACAAAGGAAAGACAAACAGGAGAAAGGCAGGGCAGAAAAAGGCUCAGUUCUGCAAAAAAUAGAAAUUUAAAAAAACCAAUAUGAGUAAAUAAAAAUCAUAAAAGACGGACGGGCAGGGGCAGCAGGGCCAGGAAAGUACCAUGACGCCGCCAGGGGCACGUGCUGCAAAGCACUCCUUGUCCUUCCUUUCCUCUGAGGGACCAGGCUGUGGGAGGAGCGGGCAGAAUGAAAAGAUAAGAGAACUGUUACUGGGUUAUUUCAAAAGCCAGAAUUUGGUCACAGAAAAAGCUCUGGCACCUAAGCGGCUUCCAGCUCCACCGAGCACAGGAGGCACCCUACGGGCUACCUGCCUCUGCACUCCACGAUUCUCAUCCUGCCUCUCUUCUCUCCUUCCCCAGUUCACGACGCUACACUUUCAGGUCAGUAACAACUUUCAGAAAGCAAACAAAACCAAAAUAAGAGUCAGAAAAACCGCUUCCAAUCUGGAGGGCUCCUCGCCCGAUGCUGCUGCUGCUGCGCUCUUCAAGGAGAAGCGUUUGAAUCGAUCAUUUCGUUUUCAGAGAUCCCAACAGAGCACUGAGUCAAAGACCCAGACCAGCUAGUGAGACAAGUGGGAAAAUAUCUGGAAUUUCAAAGGAUCAUUAAUAUUUUAAAACACUGGAGAGAAACAGCAUUUUACAAAGAAACAUUUGGAGACAACCUUCUGGGACUCCUCUCCUGAUGGACUUUGGAGAUAAUGGCAGUAGCCAAAAAUUAACACCCAGAGGCAAUGGAACAGAUGCCCAGAUCUGAGACUCUGAGGGUCAAGAGGCAGUGGCAGGUGUGACACCAGCAAAGCCACCCGAGAACACUGAAGAAGUUAGAGGUCCUAGAUGCAGCUGCUCCCAACUGAAGGGCUCCUGAAAACACUCGUGGUUUUAGAAGCUAAGGGAAGAGGCCGGGCGCGGUGGCUCACACCUGUAAUCCCAGCACUUUGAGAGGCCGAGGCAGGCAGAUCACCUAAGGUUAGGAGUCAAGACCAGCCUGGCCAACAUGGUGAAACCUCAUCUCUACUAAAAAUACAGAAGAAAAUUUUUAGCCAGGCGUGGUGAUGCACGCCUGUAUUCCCAGCUAUGCAGGAGGCUGAGGCAGGAGAAUCACUUCAACCUGGGAGGUGGAGGUUGUAGUGAGCCAAGAUCGCACCACAGCACUCCAGCCUGGGUAACAGAGUGAGACUCUGUCUCAUUUAAAAAAAAAAAAAAAAAAAGAGGCUAAGGAAAGAACCUGAGCAUUUCUCUCCCCAGCCCCCGCAAUAUGAAGAAUUAGGUACAAAGCACCCCAGAGCCCCGGACCUUAGGUUUGGUUUGGCAGCUGCAGCAGAAAGUGAUGGUUCCUAGUGAUACAACUCAGAAUUAAAGUAACUUGUACAUGACAGUUUCUUAGAAAAUGAAUGAAGUUAUCAUUUUAAAAAAAGAAGAGCCUGCCCAAAAGAAACAGCAUAAGCUAACAAACACGCACCAGCGGAAGGGCUGCGUGAAGACAUGAGUGAAUGCGAGCAAAUGAGGUGGCUGCAGGCUCUCACUUGGGGCAUGAUGAAAUUUCCAAGACUGUUCUAAGAGAGCUCUUCAGAGAGGUCAUGUGAGAACACUGAAAACAGGCCAAUUCAACGGAGCCAAUUAUUCACUGGAUUUAUUAAUUCUUAAAAGAGAAAGGUUAGCAUGGAUUUAUAGCUCUAACAGGAAGUGGGAGGUGGAGAAGCCCACUCACCUCCCUCUCCAGACUCAGGGAAGGGAAUGAGAAGGUGCCACACAGAGCCCUGGCAGGACCGAGGGCCACACAGGCUGCCUGGCUGCCGUCCCAGACCUGUGGCCACAUGAGAUUUAGGUUUCGAUGUGGCACAGCUUCAAAUGGAUACACGAGGGGAUAGUCAUCUUCUGUGAGAAACAGUGGCACCUUUUCCCAAAGACAAAUAGUUAAGACAUCACUCCUAUUUUUUCAGCUGCCCCAAGUAAUUGCUCUUUUGACGUUUUUGAAAAAGUUCCCCAAAGCUGAAGAGCCUCUCAGUAAAACCAAAAAUCAAAAGCACCAAUUAAGCGCAAAGCGAGUUUGGGUGGAGUCUUCAUCCUGGAUGCCAAGGAACAUGAAAAUGGAAGGUCAAGUUCCUAUGUGCCGCAGAGAUGAUGACAAACCAGUAGGAACUGGCAACCCUGCUACGUUGCAGAACUAUCCCAAAUUCCUGGAAGCUGCUUUGGGUCAUUUCAACAUUCAGUCCAGAUUACUGACUCUGAAAUCUACCUUAGGACCCUCAAAGCAUCCCUGCCAGGGACCUGAGGCAGAUGCUUGCUGCAACCAGGAACCACUUCUCCAGAGAGGCAGGAGUUCAGGUUACUAGAGUGACAUGAAAACGCAACGAGACCUAGAUAGAAAAACAGAGGCAAGGCCAGCCCUUCCUUCCUCACAGGAAGACGAUAUGACCUGGCAAGUGCCAGCCAGGCUCCCGGACUCUACUCUUCUGUAACCUAAAAAGCACAAUCUAAAAAAGCAAACAGCAGAAUUAAAUGUGCAAGACACACUACGCUGUUAACAAAAGCCUGAGCGGCUGGGCGCCGUGGCUCACGCCUGUAAUCCCAGCACUUUGGGAGGCGGAGGCAGGUGGAUCAUUUGAGGUCAGGAGUUCAAGAUCAGCCUGGCCAAAAUGGUGAAACCCCGUCUCUACUAAAAAUACAAAAAUUAGCCAGGUGUGGUGGCGCACGCCACCCACAAGUAGUAAUCCCAGCUACUUGGGAGGAUGAGGCGGGAGGAUGAGGCAGGAGAAUGGUUUGAACCGGGAAGACGAAGUUUGCAGUGAGCCGAGAAAACACUACUGCUCUCCAGCCUGGGCAACUCCAUGUCAAAGGAAAAAAAAAAAAAAAAGCCUGAGCACUCAUACCUAAAAAGAAUAUGCCCCUUCAAGACAUGUCAAAAUUAACAAUUAACUGUCAUCAACGAUAGGCUUUUUAUUUGAUUUUUUUUUUUUUUGAGACAGAGUCUUGCUCUGUUGCCCAGGCUAGAGUGCAAUGGCGCGAUCUCAGCUCACUGCAACCUCCGCCUCCAAAGUUCAAGUGAUUCUCCAGCCUCAGCCUCCCGAGUAGCUGGGAUUACAGGCACCCGCCACUGCACCCAGCUAAUUUUUGUAUUUUUAGUAGAGACAGAGUUUCACCAUCUUGGCCAGGCUGGUCUUGAACUCCUGACCUCAUAAUCUACCUGCCUCGGCCUCCCAAAGUCCUGGGAUUACAGGCGUGAGCCACCGCGCCCAGCCUGAAUUUUUAAUAGCUUGGCUCACCAAAAAGUGUCAGUUAAAACACUCCCAUUUCCCUUCAUUUAUUGUAGAAAAA